rnacentral:rRNA from 1 species
GACGAACGCUGGCGGCGUGCCUAACACAUGCAAGUCGAACGAGUGGCGGACGGGGGAGUAACGGGGGGGGUUAUGCAUUUGGAUGGGGCAUGACGAGCGGAAAGGUGUGCUAAUACCGCAUACUAGAGAUGAGCUCGGGUCAGAUUAGCUAGUUGGUAGGGUAAAGGCCUACCAAGGCGACGAUCGGUAGCGGGUCUGAGAGGAUGACCAGCCACACUGGAACUGAGACACGGUCCAGACUCCUACGGGAGGCAGCAGUGGGGAAUAUUGCACAAUGGGCGCAAGCCUGAUGCAGCCAUGCCGCGUGUAUGAAGAAGGUCUUCGGGUUGUAAAGUACUUUCAGCGGGGAGGCGUUACCCGCAGAAGAAGCACCGGCUAACUCCGUGCCAGCAGCCGCGGUAAUAC